GUAAACCCAAGGUUUCCAGGGGAAGGUUCGUCCGCCCUGGGAUAUUCGGGACCUAAGCUGAGGCCGAAAGGCGUAGGUGAUGGACAACAGGUUGAUAUUCCUGUACUACCGUUAACCGAAUGCGAGAUGGGAUGACACAGUAGGAUAAGCUACGCACACUGUUGGUUAUGUGUGCCCAAGCAUUGAGGCAGUCAAAGUAGGCAAAUCCGCUUUGAUAAUGCUGGGAUGGGAUGGGGAGCGAAAUUUAGUAGCGAAGUAGCUGAUUUCACACUGUCAAGAAAAGUCUCUAUCGAGGUUAAAGGUACCCGUACCGCAAACCGACACAGGUGGGUGAGGAGAGUAUCCUAAGGCCAGCG
rnacentral:rRNA from 1 species